rnacentral:rRNA from 1 species
UGCCAGCCGCCGCGGUAAGACGGAGGGUGCAAACGUUGUUCGGAAUCAUUGGGCGUAAAGCGCACGUAGGCGGACUAUUAAGUCAGGGGUGAAAUCCCGGGGCUCAACCCCGGAACUGCCUCUGAAACUGGCGAACUUGAGUACGGGAGAGGAAAGUGGAAUUCCGAGUGUAGGGGUGAAAUCCGUAGAUAUUCGGAGGAACACCAGUGGCGAAGGCGGCUUUCUGGACCGAUACUGACGCUGAGACGCGAAAGCGUGGGGAGCUAACAGGAUUCGAUA